UAAUCAAACUUAAAUCACUAAUCUAUACCAAUUAAAUCCAAUUAGAUCUCAUUAAACUCACAUCAACGUAAAAGCAUUACUAUAAGAAAAUUGGAUUAAGAAAGGGAUCUAGGGUUACUCAAAUGUGACGCAUCAGCUUCCUCUUUCUCAGACGAAUGCGCGGCGGUGGCUGGAGCUUCACCGAUUCAAACCUCACCUUCUCCGAUUCAAAGUCCGGCCACCACAAACUCGACAGAUCUCUCUCACUCGCCCUCACUCUCUUCUCAACACGAUGUCGCGAUCUCCGCCUUCUCCUUCGUGACAAAGCGGCGGCCGGGAACUAAGUCUUCUCCGACGAAAUCGAACUCUCCGGCCUCCGUACAUAUUUUCGAGAGAUGACAUGGAGGCGAAUUGAAGAUGCUGAGAUGCGAUAUGAAGAUGAUGUUGUUGCGAUGAAGAUUGGAGGUGAUGUUGUUGUUCGUUGUUGAUGGAUGGUGAUGACGAGCAUGAUGCAAUUCGGUGUUGAUGCAGACGCGAAAUUGACGACAAUGUUGUUGAAUCCACUCAAUAGAGUUACGAUACGGACAUGCCAAUUUGCAGAUGAAGAUCAACAGAAACGCCUUCUUGCGGUUGCAGAAUUUUGACGAAGAUGCGAUUAUCCGAGCGAGCCAUUCAGAAGCGUCGUGAUUAUCGUGAUUGAAUUGAAGUAUGAACGUGAUGAAAAGCCAAAAAACCGUUGAAGAAUUGGUUCUCUUUCUGUGAGGAUUGCAGUCGAUGAUGAUGAUGUUAUGGUGAUUAUGCCGUUCACAUUGAAGCGUGAAGGAGAGAAAGAAGAUUGAAUAGUAGAAGUUUUUUUGAAGUUACGGAGAUGGUGUUGAUUCUGUUCUGAGAUUGAAGAGGUGUUAAAGAUUGAGAGGUUGAAUGAAUGAGGAUGAGAAUCGGUGCAGAGAAGGUUCAGAGAGUUUUUUCUGUUAGAGUUUGUUACCAGGGUCCCAGUGAGUGCAAUCGUGAUUUUGCAGAGUUGGUUUUCGAGUCUCUAUGAGGUGCCGGCGGUUUCUUCCCUUGUCAAAGUUGCAAGUUGCAUUUUUUUUAAGGGAUUUUGGCCUCUUUGCGUUUUACAGAUACAGAUGCAGUAGUAUUUCUGUAAUUUUCAAGUUUGACCUGAAACAUUGUAUAUUUUGAAUUUUUUUGUAAUGAAUUUUGUAUGGGAUUGUAAUGGGCUUUGUAAUAUAUUCUUGUUCAAUGAAAUUCGAGAGGGCUUUUUGUAGUGGAUA